rnacentral:rRNA from 1 species
ACACAUGCAAGUCGAGGGGCAGCAUGAACUUAGCUUGCUAAGUUUGAUGGCGACCGGCGCACGGGUGAGUAACACGUAUCCAACCUGCCGAUGACUCGGGGAUAGCCUUUCGAAAGAAAGAUUAAUACCCGAUGGCAUAGUUCUUCCGCAUGGUAGAACUAUUAAAGAAUUUCGGUCAUCGAUGGGGAUGCGUUCCAUUAGGUUGUUGGCGGGGUAACGGCCCACCAAGCCUUCGAUGGAUAGGGGUUCUGAGAGGAAGGUCCCCCACAUUGGAACUGAGACACGGUCCAAACUCCUACGGGAGGCAGCAGUGAGGAAUAUUGGUCAAUGGACGAGAGUCUGAACCAGCCAAGUAGCGUGAAGGAUGACUGCCCUAUGGGUUGUAAACUUCUUUUAUACGGGAAUAAAGUGAGGCACGUGUGCCUUUUUGUAUGUACCGUAUGAAUAAGGAUCGGCUAACUCCGUGCCAGCAGCCGCGGUAAUACGGAGGAUCCGAGCGUUAUCCGGAUUUAUUGGGUUUAAAGGGAGCGUAGGCGGACGCUUAAGUCAGUUGUGAAAGUUUGCGGCUCAACCGUAAAAUUGCAGUUGAUACUGGGUGUCUUGAGUACAGUAGAGGCAGGCGGAAUUCGUGGUGUAGCGGUGAAAUGCUUAGAUAUCACGAAGAACUCCGAUUGCGAAGGCAGCCUGCUGGACUGUAACUGACGCUGAUGCUCGAAAGUGUGGGUAUCAAACAGGAUUAGAUACCCUGGUAGUCCACACAGUAAACGAUGAAUACUCGCUGUCUGCGAUAUACAGUAAGCGGCCAAGCGAAAGCGUUAAGUAUUCCACCUGGGGAGUACGCCGGCA